rnacentral:rRNA from 1 species
CGUAUCACUUAAAGCGAUUCAGCGGGUUACGACUGACGGAGCGAAGCGACGUCAAAGCGUAUACAAAGUCGAGUCGGUUUAAGGAUACGUUCGUUGGGUAGGGGAGCGUUCUGUAAGCCUGCGAAGGUGGCCUGUGAGGGUUGCUGGAGGUAUCAGAAGUGCGAAUGCUGACAUAAGUAACGAUAAAGCGGGUGAAAAGCCCGCUCGCCGGAAGACCAAGGGUUCCUGUCCAACGUUAAUCGGGGCAGGGUGAGUCGACCCCUAAGGCGAGGCCGAAAGGCGUAGUCGAUGGGAAACGGGUUAAUAUUCCCGUACUUGGUGUUACUGCGAAGGGGGGACGGAGAAGGCUAUGUUGGCCGGGCGACGGUUGUCCCGGUUUAAGCGUGUAGGUGUGUGUUCCAGGUAAAUCCGGUUCACUUUAACACUGAGGCGUGACGACGAGGCACUACGGUGCUGAAGCAACAAAUGCCCUGCUUCCAGGAAAAGCCUCUAAGCAUCAGGUAACAUCAAAUCGUACCCCAAACCGACACAGGUGGUCAGGUAGAGAAUACCAAGGCGCUUGAGAGAACUCGGGUGAAGGAACUAGGCAAAAUGGUGCCGUAACUUCGGGAGAAGGCA